rnacentral:lncRNA from 1 species
ACACUAAGCAAUGGAUUUCCAUCAGCCAAGGAAAAAAAAUGAUGCUGAUGAAUUUUAAAGUUCAUGUAGUCGGAGAUGUCCUGAUGCCUGGCACAAUGAACUUGACUGAUACAACCCAUUGAGCAGAUGCUUGGUGUCUGGCCCGAAGCAUUGUUUAGCAGGAUGAGAGAUUAUAGGGCUCUUUACAAGUGAUCACCUACCAUGCAUGUGGGUAAAGGUUGACUACACAACCACCGUUCUGUAAAAAUGUGUUAAUCACAAGAAAAAUACCACAAACCAUCAGAAAGAUUUGGCCUAGAUGUUCUAGAGAUAUUGGCACAACAAACAAACAAACAAAACUCCAAAACAAAAGAAAAUCACAAACAAACAACAAGACCAAUAGCAUGUUUCAGUCCGUUGACUUUUUAUCAGACAAGAAAUAAAAACUCUUCCUGGC